rnacentral:rRNA from 1 species
AACCCUAGUCAAUAGAUCCACGGCGUAAAACGUGUUUAAGGAAAGUUCUCAUAAAGUCAAACCCUAGCUACGCUGUAAAAAGCUAUAGCUACUGUAAGCCCUAACACGAAAGUAACUUUAAAACACCUGAAUACACGACAGCUAAGGCCCAAACUGGGAUUAGAUACCCCACUAUGCUUAGCCCUAAACCUAAAGAGUCCUUACAACAAGACUCUUCGCCAGAGUACUACUAGCCAAAGCUUAAAACUCAAGGGACUUGGCGGUGCUUCAUAUCCCUCUAGAGGAGCCUGUUCUAUAAUCGACAAACCCCGAUCAACCUCACCAACCCUUGCCAACU